CGAGCGGAAAGGCCCUUCGGGGUACUCGAGCGGCGAACGGGUGAGUAACACGUGAGCAACCUGCCCCUGGCUCUGGGAUAGCCUCCGGAAACGGGGAUUAAUACCGGACAUUCUCCUUCUUCCGCAUGGUUGAGGGUGGAAAGUUUUUUCGGCCGGGGAGGGGCUCGCGGCCUAUCAGCUUGUUGGCGGGGUAACGGCCCACCAAGGCGACGACGGGUAGCCGGCCUGAGAGGGCGACCGGCCACACUGGGACUGAGACACGGCCCAGACUCCUACGGGAGGCAGCAGUGGGGAAUAUUGCGCAAUGGGCGGAAGCCUGACGCAGCGACGCCGCGUGGGGGAUGAAGGCCUUCGGGUUGUAAACCCCUUUCACCAGGAGCGAAUCCAGACGGUACCUGGGGAAGAAGCGCCGGCUAACUACGUGCCAGCAGCCGCGGUAAUACGUAGGGCGCAAGCGUUGUCCGGAAUUAUUGGGCGUAAAGAGCUCGUAGGCGGCCUGUCGCGUCCGCUGUGAAAUCCUGGGGCUUAACCCCGGGCGUGCAGUGGAUACGGGCUG
rnacentral:rRNA from 1 species